rnacentral:rRNA from 1 species
AGGAUAAACGCUGGCGGCGUGCCUAAUGCAUGCAAGUCGCACGGAGUACUCUUUCGGGGGUACUGAGUGGCGAACGGGUGAGGAACGCGUGGAGAACCUACCCCGGCGUGGGGAUACCCGCCAGAAAUGGCGGCUAAUACCGCGUACGGUCCAGGGGCGGAAGGCUCUCUGGAAGAAAGCAGUAAUGCGCGCUGGGAGGGGUCUGCGCCCGAUUAGCUAGUUGGCGGGGUAAUGGCCCACCAAGGCGGUGAUCGGUAGCUGGUCUGAGAGGAUGAUCAGCCACACUGGGACUGAGACACGGCCCAGACUCCUACGGGAGGCAGCAGUGGGGAAUAUUGGACAAUGGGCGCAAGCCUGAUCCAGCAAUGCCGCGUGGGUGAAGAAGGUCUUCGGAUUGUAAAGCCCUUUCGGCGGGGACGAUGAUGACGGUACCCGCAGAAGAAGCCCCGGCUAACUUCGCGCCAGCAGCCGC